rnacentral:rRNA from 1 species
CUUGGUCAUUUAGAGGAAGUAAAAGUCGUAACAAGGUUUCCGUAGGUGAACCUGCGGAAGGAUCAUUACCUAGAGUUGUAGGCUUUGCCUGCUAUCUCUUACCCAUGUCUUUUGAGUACCUUCGUUUCCUCGGCGGGUCCGCCCGCCGAUUGGACAUAUUCAAACCCUUUGCAGUUGCAAUCAGCGUCUGAACAAACUUAAUAGUUACAACUUUCAACAACGGAUCUCUUGGUUCUGGCAUCAAUGAAGAACGCAGCGAAAUGCGAUAAGUAGUGUGAAUUGCAGAAUUCAGUGAAUCAUCGAAUCUUUGAACGCACAUUGCGCCCCUUGGUAUUCCAUGGGGCAUGCCUGUUCGAGCGUCAUUUGUACCUUCAAGCUUUGCUUGGUGUUGGGUGUUUGUCUCGCCUCUGCGCGCAGACUCGCCUCAAAACAAUUGGCAGCCGGCGUAUUGAUUUCGGAGCGCAGUACAUCUCGCGCUUUGCACUCAUAACGACGACGAUCCAAAAGUACAUUUUUACACUCUUGACCUCGGAUCAGGUAGGGAUACCCGCUGAACUUAAGCAUAUCAAUAAGCGGAGGA